UACAGAGGGUGCAAGCGUUGUUCGGAAUUAUUGGGCGUAAAGCGCGUGUAGGCGGCUUUGCAAGUCGGGUGUGAAAGCCCUCAGCUCAACUGAGGAAGUGCGCGCGAAACUGGCGGGCUUGAGUGCCGGAGAGGGUCGCGGAAUUCCCAGUGUAGAGGUGAAAUUCGUAGAUAUUGGGAGGAACACCAGUGGCGAAGGCGGCUCACCUGGCCCGGUACUGACGCUGAGGUGCGAAAGCGUGGGAGCAAACAGG
rnacentral:rRNA from 1 species